rnacentral:rRNA from 1 species
CCUACGGGGGGCAGCAGUGAGGAAUAUUGGUCAAUGGACGAGAGUCUGAACCAGCCAAGUAGCGUGAAGGAUGACUGCCCUAUGGGUUGUAAACUUCUUUUAUAUGGGAAUAAAAUGUUCCACGUGUGGGAUUUUGUAUGUACCAUAUGAAUAAGCAUCGGCUAACUCCGUGCCAGCAGCCGCGGUAAUACGGAGGAUCCGAGCGUUAUCCGGAUUUAUUGGGUUUAAAGGGAGCGUAGGUGGAUUGUUAAGUCAGUUGUGAAAGUUUGCGGCUCAACCGUAAAAUUGCAGUUGAAACUGGCAGUCUUGAGUACAGUAGAGGUGGGCGGAAUUCGUGGUGUAGCGGUGAAAUGCUUAGAUAUCACGAAGAACUCCGAUUGCGAAGGCAGCUCACUGGACUGCAACUGACACUGAGGCUCGAAAGUGUGGGUAUCGAACAGGAUUAGAUACCCCAGUAGUC